GCCGCCCCUGGCCCAGAGGACGGGGAAAGCGAGGAGUAGCAAAGCCAGACCGAGAAGCACCAAGCUGUCAGGAACUGCUGCCGGAGCAACCGGGGACGGGAGUGGUGUGUGUAACAUUACACCGGCUGCCCUCCCGCGGGCGGAGCGCCGAGCUCUCCUUCCAGGGCAGCGAGGCCCGCGCCGGGGGUGGACGAAGGGAGCGGAGCUGGCAGCUGCCCGGGGCUCGCUGCCGAUGGGGGAAUGCGGGGUUCCCACCCAGGUCCAGCUGUUUCUCCGCGCCUGCGACCAGGGGGACUACGAGAGCGCUCGGCGCCUGUUGGGACUGCCCGGGGGCGGCGCGGAGGCGGCGGGCGGCUCCGCUUGCGGGGCGGAGGAGGCGGCGGAGUCCGGGGCAGGCGAGGCGGCAGCGCCUCCUCCCUCGGUGCCGGUGGACUGCACGGACGAGGCCGGGAACACGGGGCUGCAGUUCGCCGCCGCCGGAGGCCACGAGCAGCUGGUGCGGUUCCUGCUACGCAAAGGGGCCUCGGUGCAGAGCCGGAACCACUACGGCUGGAGCCCGCUCAUGCAGGCGGCCAGGUUUGGACAUCUAACUGUGGCUCACAUCUUGUUGGAGAAUGGUGCUGAUCUCAAUGCACAGAAUAAGCUGGGAGCCAGUGUACUUACAAUGGCUUCUAGAGGUGGCCAUGUCAGUGUCGUGAAAUUGUUGCUGGAAUCUGGAGCUUUUGUUGAUAAUUAUGACCAUUUUAAUACCAGUUUGGUUGACAACAGCAAAGAGGAACUGCCUGAUAUAACACCACUAAUAGCAGCCGCCCAGCAUGGAUAUGAGGCAGUGGUGCACUUGCUACUGGACUGGGGAGCUGAUUGUAAUUACACUGUGAAGACUGUGGGCUGGAGUCCUCUAAUGCUGGCAGCUGUUAGUGGAAAGCUGAGCUUGGCACAACAACUCAUGGACAAGGGAGCCAAUCCUAAUCACCUAAAUGUGCUGAAUAAAACACCUUUUGAAAUCUCCAUUGGCUUCAAACAUAAAGACAUGAAAGAUUAUUUGGAAUCACUAACAACAAUCAGACCCCUGACAGAUAAUGACAAGAGGCAACCUGAUGUCUUUCAUGCUUUGAAAAUGGGAAAUUUUCAGCUGGUUAAAGAGAUUGUGGAUGAAGACCCAAAUCAGGUUAAUAUUAUUAAUGGUGAUGGUGCUUCUCCACUGAUGAUUGCCGCUGUAACUGGACAGUUGGAUCUUGUACAGCUGCUUGUUGAGAGAAAUGCUGACAUUGACAAACAAGAUAAUGUUCAUGGCUGGACAGCCCUAAUGCAGGCCACAUACCAUGGAAAUAAAGAAGUUGUUAAGUAUUUGUUGAAUCGAGGAGCUGAUGUCAAUCUACGUGCAAAAAAUGGAUACACAGCCUUUGACCUGAUAAUGCUACUGAAUGAUCCAGACACAGAACUUGUACGUCAACUAGCAUCAGCCUGCAUGCAAGUAGACAAAGACAAGGGUAAGCAGAACAACAAAUCGUCUUUGCCCUGUUCUAGAAGUAGGCAAUCUUUAAAUACCCUGAUGUUGCCAGAUGACAAGGGAGGAUUAAAGUCAUGGUGGAACAGGAUGUCCAAUAGAUUCCGUAAGCUGAAGUUGACCCAAACAUUGCGUCAUGGAUUUUCCACCAGUCAGUCUGUGCCUUUUACUGAUGAGCCCGAGUCAUCUCUGAAUUCCACAAUAAAAGCCACUUCACAGUCUGAUGUGAACAACUCUGGAAACUGUGAUGCUGCAACAGCUUGGACCACAAAUAUCAAAACUAGUGGUGUAUGCACAAGAGCAGGAAAGGAUGAUGAAUUAUUGACAACAAUGUUAAGAAGUGGUGCUCCAUUUACUAGGCUACCUAGUGAUAAACUGAAAGCAGUUAUUCCUCCUUUCUUACCUCCUUCAAGUUUUGAGCUGUGGAAUUCUGACCGAACACGAAUGAACAAAGAUGGCAAGACUGAACAGAUGAGGACUGCCUUGCCACAGCGUGGGAUCAAACAUGAUUUUAACAGCAGUGCAAACUCUGACAUAACAUCUGUUACCAAAGGUACUAGACCGGUCAAAUUGCCAACCUUUGCAAGAAGACCUGCUUCUCCCUCAAAUUCAAGCAACUUCAACCACUCGCCACACUCUUCUGGUGGAUCCAACAACAUCGCUGGAAUUAACAGACAUGGUGGAGAACUCCAUAAUAGAUCAGGUGGCAGUGCAGAUAGUGUUUUGUCUCAAAUUGCUGCUCAAAGGAAAAAAGCAGCAGGCUUACCUGAACAGAAACCCAGCCAGCAAUAUAGUUCAAUCCACACAGCUGCUUCAUCCACGCUUCCUGAACUGCAGCAGUACACUCAGAUAGCUGGCAAUGGACAUAUUGCAAAGCAGAAACUGGAGAUGAACAAAAGACCUCCAUCUGGGACCUCAUCUACAUCUAAAAGCACAUCACCAACUCUCACACCAUCCCCAUCUCCAUCCCCAUCCCCUAAGGUUCACAAUGCAGAGUCGUCUCUCUCUUCAUCUCACAGACAAGCCAAGAGCAAUGGUGGCUCCAGCAGUGGAACUAUUACUGAUGAAGGCAACCAGUUGGGGGACCACCAAAAACUUGUCCAUAGUUUGAGAACCUCUGACAUAGAGAAUCAUGAAAGAAGAAACCAUGUGAGAGUAAAAGGAGUUUGUGAAAACUUGGAGAAAGAUGAGCUGACUAGUAUCCUUAAAAAAUUGUCGCUUGAGAAAUAUCAGCCCAUUUUUGAAGAACAGGAGGUGGAUAUGGAAGCCUUCCUCACACUUACUGAUGGUGAUUUGAAAGAGCUGGGAAUUAAAACUGAUGGAUCUAGGCAGCAAAUUCUGGCAGCUAUUUCUGAACUGAAUGCAGGAAAGGGACGAGAGAGGCAGAUUUUACAGGAAACCAUACACAAUUUUCACUCUUCCUUUGAGAGUAGUGUUAGUAAUACCAGACCUCCUGGCAAUUCUCAGUGUAAGUAUUAUUCAUAUGUUGUCGGAUCAACUUCAAGCAAUUUUUCUUAAACCAGGGUAAAGUACAGUAUAUGCAAACAUGCUAUGUGUUGGUUUAAAGAUUCCUGCAUUUCUCUCUCUUUCAGACUGUAGUGAAGAUUUCAAAGUAAAAAGGCAGAGAGUUUAUAAGAUUUGUAUAUAGGGAUAGUAUUUAUGGGUUUCAAACAGAUUAGUGUGUAUUUGGUUAAUUCAAAAAGUUUUUAAAUUAACAAUGUAUUGCAUUUUACAUUGAAAGCCACGGGGGCGUGUUUUUCAUAUGAGGUAGGUCUCAAUCGCAUAAUGAGAUAGCUAAGGUUGCUCCUUGUCUAUCCCUAGAAGCAGACCAAUUUCUCACCUCUUGUGGUCAUCAAAUAGGCUACUUAGUGGAGUAGUGGGUACUGUACAUGUUGCGCUGCAUUUUUGCAGUACACGAACAUCAGUGCUGAGCCCUGCCUGUUACAUUCUGGGUAGAAAAAAGAGGGGAUCAUUUGGACGUUGCUAGUGAGUGUCUCAAGACCCACCUGGAGAAACUCUGCUUUCCGUAAAUUCAGAAGCUCAAGGGAGAACCAGAAGAUGGGUUCUGGUGGCAUUGGCAUUUGAAGAAGUUCCUUCAUGCACUGGACUGUUUGCGAUUUGGCUGGAGGGCUGAGCUACUGAAGACCCACCUGAUGAGGCCAAGAGCUGACAGUCACAUCUUUGGUUUGCAGACAUAAAGAGCAGCAUCGUGCUGACAUUUCAAACAGCAACGUCCAAGCAACUGCAAGACAGAUAAUUUUAGACAAUUGUAAACACAAUUUUGGACAUCUAUUGAGGUGCAACAACCACAAGCAGCCUAGCAUACCAUUCUGUUUAUUUUCCCUAGGCUGUAGCACAGUCUUAAACGGCAAUAUCAGAGAAAUGCCUAUACUCCAAUCUUUCUAGACUAAUCUGUUUUAUUUAGAUUCUUAGACCACGCCUAUCAACAGGAAGUCUGAGCACCUUCCAGAAGUGCAUUUAGUAUCAUGAGUAGCAUCUGUCAUGUGUGGUGUUCUCCUUAUUCUGUAAAUGGGGAAAAACUAUAGAAAAACUUUUUUAUUAAAUUAUAUGACAAUUAGCUUAUCCCUGGGACCCUACAGUGGCUAAUAAAGUCCCUCCAAUCCAUGAACAGCUGUGGGGUAACCAUAUGGGAAAAUAAUACUGCAGCAUUUGUGUGAGGAUUAUCACUAACUCUUUGGAAUAAUUCCUUUUUUCCUCUGGAGGGAAAUUUGAGGAAGGUGAUAUUUCCCAGAGAAAUGGCUGCCUGUAACAAUUCAGCUGCCUAAAUUUUAAAUAAUUACUAAAUUUGCUCUGAUCAUCGCAUGUCCCCAAACCUCUUCUUGCCCCAUUAGUAGCUUCCCCUAUCACUCUUUCUAGGGACAAGUCCUGAACAUGAGCCUGUAAGAAGGAGGCUGACCUUACCAUUGCACUCUAGGGACCAGGUGCUUACACUAAAGCUUGGUAUUCAAAAUGUAUUGACAUUGUUAUCUUUCUCAAAAUAGUUUGCAUUCCCAGUGUGAUGGAGUGCUAUAACUACCAACUUCCUUAUUUUUAAUUCAGCCACUGGAGUGGAUGAUCCAGGUCUUCAGGGAAGGUGUGCAGACUGCCCGCCCAGGUCCACACUCCCAGAAUAAUCAAAAACAAGCACAAAAGCAAGGAGGAUCUGUGUGUGGAAUUAGAGAGAGUAUACAGGUUUAAGGAAAUGUAGUACAAGGAAAACAGGCAGGAAAAGUACUAGUAGAAUAGUAAGAAAUAAAUGGGUGAUUACAUGUCUAACUAAAUGCAACGUGAGACAAACUUAUGGAAGGAUGACAGAUUGUUCCACCUGUUGCUUUUUAAUGGGUUUUUGGAACUAUAAACUCAAUUGCUGACUGACUGUGCCCUCAGCCCACCAGUACCCAGCACCUCCUGCCAAGGUCACUGCUUCUGGCAAAUAUAUAUGAAAUUCACUACAAGAACCUUUGGAAAAGUUGAUGUGUAUAUUAUAUUUUUGGCAGCCAACCUGUUUCAUAAUAAAGUUUAUUGUUGAAAGAAAGGUUUAUUUGUACUUCAGUUAUGUCAUCUCUCCCUGAAAACAUUGCAUCUUGUAACCUAGCUCAGUACAACACAGAGAAACAUACAUUAACUUACUUCUUCACCCUUAAAAUUCAGAAGAGAGGACCAACCUAUGGGGACCCAAGCAAAACAGUUGUCUGAGCUCAGAGCGGAUUAUUCUGUUGAAUAAUCUGUCUCCAUCCAUACCCUAACCUCACUGUAACACCCCAAAAGCAGAGCGCCAGAAAGCAUGGCUCCCAUAACAGGCAAAGGAUACAAGGCUAAAGUCAUUUGACUACUAAAGCAGAUAUCAGAGAUUUACAGUAUGAAUUCACAGCACUGAGGACGGAUUUAUUCUCCAAGAUUUCUGCAAUCAAAGAGGAAGUGAGUAUAGAAUUUUUCGGCUGGAUGCUGCAUUGGGAGAAAUAUCAGAGAAGAGAGAAAGCUGCUUCUUCUCUGUGUAAAUUUGCUGGAGCCAAAAGAGAGAAGAAGGGACAUGAGAAUUUAAAAAGUGUCUGAAAAUAUGAAGAAAAUCAUAUUCUCUUUUUACAAACCUUUAUGAAUUAGUUGUUAAAUUUCAUGUCUGUGGAAGAGAUUAAAAUAGAAUACCCCGCUUUAGGCUAGUAGCAGAUCCAGGGAUUUCAUUAUGAGUUUUCGCCAUUACCAAAAAAAGUCUUGAUUAUGAAAAAAGGUGAGAUAGCCCCCAGAGUCUAUACUCCAAGGCCACAAUCUUCAGUUUCUCCUAGAUCUUCUGCUCUAAUUUUUAAAAAGAGUAAAGAGUUGAGUAAAAUUAAAGCCGCAAUUAGAAGGGCAGAGAUUUUCUGUAGCAGAGAAUUUCCAUUCAGCUUCUAGCAUCAGAUUUGUACAGCGAGAGUCUCUAGGGAAGGGAAAACUACACUCUGGAUAGAGAUCCAAAGCUCUAGCAUGCAAAAGUUUGUGGUAGCAGCUGUUGAAGAGCUGGUCAAAAAAUAAUGUCAGACAGUGAAACUGAAGAAAAGGAGAGUGAAAAAAGAAAAGAAGGACCUUCUCUAGUAGAAGUAGAGCCAAGGGACUUAUAUACCUGAAACGUAAUUGAAGAUUAACUAGAAAGGAUUUAAAUGAACUGUUGAACAUUAGCUAUGAUUAUGCUGAAAAGAAAAGAUUGUGCAGUUCAGUUUAAUUGUGGUAAUCAAUUAGCAGUAACUGCUUCCUCCUCUCCCCCCCUCCCCCAGUAAAUUAGUCAUUAAGGGAACAUGCAGUGAAAUGGAAUUUGUAUGGGGAGGCAAGAGAGACGACCCCCCCCCUUAGGGAUGGUAAAGAUAGGAGAAAAUAGAUAGUGGGUGUGUAGGGUCCUAUAGGAAGUUUGUAUAAUUCAUUAUGUAAUUCAAAAUAUCAGAUGAUAGGUUGUUCUCCUGGGGGUGAAUAAUGAGGUCUCGUUGGUGGAGAAUUUACGUCACUUGGACUGCAAGGGACAAGCAGUACAAGUAUUCAUGAAGAACGUAUGGGGGCUUGAUGUUCAGCCAAGUAUAUAAUUCAUUUGGGGACUGAUUUAUAUUUUGACUUUUCAUCUUUGGAUUCAAAAUUAGAAAUAUACAUGAAAUUAUCCAGAGGAGAGAAUUGGGGAGGAAGUGAUGGGCUUGAUUAAAAAAAGGGAAACAACUUGAAAGCUAACAAGCAGAAAUCGUGCCAUAUUCAAAUACAGUUUGACAGUUGUGGGAACAAUAAAUUUAAUCAUGAGAUGUGUAUCAUAGAAAGGUUUGUGUCAGUAAAUGGCCUCUUCAUAGUCAAGUUUAGAACGUUGGUGCUCCAAUUCAACAAGGCACUUAAGCAUUUACCUAGUAGCAGAUAUCUCCACAGGCUGAUGAUGGAACACUAGAUGGGGAGGGCUCAGAGUUACUGCAGAGAAUUCUUUCCCAGGUGUCUGGCUCCUGGGUCUUGGCAGAUGCCUUGCUCAGAGUCUAAGGCCUGGUCUACACUAUGGGGUUAGGUCGAAUUUAGAAGCAUUAGGUUGAUUUAAAAAUGAAUGUAUCCACACAACCAACCCCGUUCCGUCGACCUAAAGGGCUCUUA